ensembl:lncRNA
GAAAAAGCCCCAUUGAACUACAAGCUAUAAGUACUACCUGGGCAGUUUGGAAUUCUUUUAUGUAAAGUCCAGCAGACAUGAAGUAUAAUCACCAUUUUUAAGGGAUACAUCACACUGAUAAUUCACAGGAGAAGACUAUUUUUUGUCAGUUACACCUAAUAAAGACUGUUACUUAACAGGGACAGGGAGGGAUAUGUGUGGAACUCACGUGACUCAGUUUUUCCUCAGGAAGAGAAGCCCACUGUGUGUGUGGAGGUGCUGCUUCCUUCACAAGUUUGGAGAAGUAGAUCCACGUGGAGCAAGCAGUGGACUAUGGCAGACGUGGAGAUGUGCCAUUCAAAUCCAUUCCAAGAAAAAAAACUCAUAAGCCAGCUGCAAAGGGUGUGGUUAGUGGAUGGUCUAUGGCUUUCAGCAAUUUGAGGGUCCUUUGUAGCUUUUAAGGUGAGGCCACAUUCUUCUUAGGGCAUCACUUUAGGCAAUGAGUGAGCAGAAUGAUAGCCAAGAUUACACUCUUCUCAUGGUCAACCCAGGCCAAAGACUGAGCAGUGGUGUGGUACAAGGGUAUAGCCAUUUUUGUCUAAUGAGGGACUUCUCUAAUGGACCAUCUUUGUCCCCAAAUCCAUAUUGGGCUACUGAGGACUUCACUGGGCCUCCAACAGAGUCAGAUAGCUCCCUCUGCCCUCUCCUGCUUCUCCUCCUUUUCCUUUCAUAGAUGGUACUCCGCAGUAAGCGCUUUCUUUGUUCUCCUGCCUCAGCCUCAGCAUCUACAUAGAACCCAACCUGCACAGGUAUCUUCCACAGUUACUGUCCUAUUUAUCUUUAAAUGAUCGCCAUAUAAUAGUCUUCUUGUUGAGAUUUUCAAAUUGCUUGAAACAGAAUUGUUAGAGUCUUCACCAUUUAUCCUAGUACUAUAGAUGAUGCAUGUGUCUGUAUGUGUGUUUUACUGAGUUGCUUUGCUAAGGGCCUUUUUUAACUCUUUACAAAAAAAGAAACAGAUCUAGGAUGGAUUUAUCAUUUCUAUUCAUUUUCUGGUGUGUAUCUCUUUAGCUGUUUUGUUCAUAGUUAAAUCCUUCCUACUGACUUCCUUUGGUUUAUUUUGUAAAUCUCCUUAGUUUCUGGUGCUGAAUGUUUAAUGAAUUUUUUUUUUAUUCUUUCUCUUCAAUAAAAAACUUUUUCAUUAUACUUUUAAGUUUAUAUGUUUAUCUCUUUUGGUUGCGCUGAGUCUUUGCUGCUGCACAAGCUUUUCUCAAGUUGUGGCGAGUGAGGACUGCUCUCUAGUUGCAGUGGGCAGACUUCUCUGUGGUGGCUUCUCUUGUUGUGGGGCACGGGCUUCGAUAGUUUCAGUGCAUGGGCUCAGUAAUUGUGAGCUCCCUCCCCGGCUCUAGAGGACAGGCUCAAUAAUUGUGGAACAGGGGAUUAGUUGCUCCAAGGCAUGUGGGAUCUUCCUGGAGUAGGGAUUGAACCCAUGUCUCCUGCAUUGGCGGGUGGAUUCUUUACCACUGAGCCACUAGAGAAGCCCCAAUAAUUUUUAUCUGCUCUCAACUUGGUACACAACUCAGUCACUUGGACUAAUUUUUACAUUUCUCAAAAAGGCUUUAUGGUAGCAUAUAUUUAGUCUUUGUGUAUCUUUAAAUAUUUUCUGUUCUCUUCAAAAAAAGAAAAAGUAAACUGUUGUAACCUAGAAGCUACAAAUCUACAGACAUAGGUCUUUAUAUAAUAAAUGUAUAAGUUGUUUUAUAACUUUGUACAAUAAAGUUGUAUUGUAUAUUGUCAGAAAACAUUCUUCUACUAUAUAGUUAAUUGUGGCCUUUUCUUUAUUUG